rnacentral:rRNA from 1 species
GCGCAGCUGAUGCAGCACGCCGCGUGCGGGAAGACAGCCCUAGGGUUGUAAACCGCUUUCAGUAGGGAAGAAAAUGACGGUACCUACACGAAGAAGGUGCGGCCAACUACGUGCCACCAGCCGCGGUGACACCGUAGGCACCAAGCGUUAUCCGAAUUUAUUGGGCGUAAAGAGCUCUGUCAGUGCGUGAUUGGUAAGUCUGGUGUGAAAACUCCAGGAUUACCCCUGACACCCCCCCCAAUACUGCCAUGACUUGAUGUACGGGAGGGGAGCGGGGAACUCCUGGAGUUUCGGUGAAAUGCUUCACGCAUAUCAGCGCAUAGAACACUCUUGGCGAAGGCGCCUCUCUGGGCCGUAACUGACGCUGAUGAGCGAAAGCGUGGGUAGCAAACAGGAUUACAUACCUCUGUGUAGUCCACUACGUAAACUUUGGUCCCUACGUGUGGGUCUCAACUAACGAGAUCCUCGCCUCUCCCUAACGCAUUAUGUGCCCCGCCGGGGGAGUACGGUCGCAAGACUAAAACUCUGAUGAAUUGACGGAA